CCUGGGGCUGAAGCAGGUCCCAAGGGUUGGGCUGUUCGCCCAUUAAAGCGGUACGUGAGCUGGGUUUAGAACGUCGCGAGACAGUUCGGUCCCUAUCUACCAUGGGCGCAGGAGAUUUGAGGGGGGCUGUCCCUAGUACGAGAGGACCGGGAUGGACGAACCUCUAGUGUACCAGUUGUCGCGCCAGCGGCAGUGCUGGGUAGCUACGUUCGGAUGGGAGAAACGCUGAAAGCAUCUAAGCGUGAAACCCUCCCCAAGAUGAGAUCUCCCUGGAUCUUCGGAUCCCUGAAGGCUCCUGGAAGACUACCAGGUAUAUAGGCCAGAUGUGUAAGGCUUGCGAGAGCUUGAGCUUACUGGUACUAAUCAGCCGUGAGGCUUGACCUU
rnacentral:rRNA from 1 species